GAAGGGUAGCUAAAGCCGUAUAUGACAAGUAGAAUCAGAGAAUAUUAUGCAAACGCGUUUGAUUUGGAUCUGGGGCCCAGUUAAACUUAUUGUUUUGUAAAGGAAUUAAAAUUAAAUUCCUAUGGUGCACUGGUCUCACUUUUGUUCUCUUCUAGAUUCAGAGCCCUACUCAAUCCAUUCCUAUCUAAUCAAAAAACGAGACGCGUGUAAGGCAAGGGUAAAAAAAGAUGUUCUUUGGAUGAAUCAUGGUGUUGAGGAUGGCAGUGAUGAUUCCGUAACGCAAUGCUCCAAAUUGAUAAUCACGCAACUAAAGUACCAAAAUCGGACUCUGAAAGUCCGUUUGAAUCCAAAUAGGGAUGAUUGGUAUGAAACUGAUGAGAGGUGAUUGAUAUUAAUCUGGUGACUAGUGGUCAAUGUCAAUCUGAUGACUGACGGUAUCUCCGGAAUCCGGAUUCAUCUUCUCCCAUCCAGAUAAUUGAAGCAUUGACCCGAGUGAACCUACUCACCCUGGGGAUAAACCCAACCCAAACCUGGCUGGAUUCCUUGUCCAAAGACUAAACUAAUUGAAGUUGGAUCAGAUCAUCAGAGACAACGGAAUCAUCGGCCCAUUGAGGUUCUAGGGGCUUAUUAGUUGUGGCCAUUCAGCCCUCGGCCGGCACCCGCGGCCUUCAUUGAGCUCUACACCCUUGAGACUUAAGCAUGGAGACCAGCAAGACACUUUUAGCUGUUAUUCCGCAAAUUUUCCGCCCGCUCAUUUUUAGCCAUGAAAGCCAGAUCAGCAAUAUCUGACCGGAUCGAGUCCUACCCACUGACUCAUUACCUUAAUGCUGCCCAUGACCAUCACCAUCCCUGUCAAAUCGUCUGUACUUGUGGGCGGGUCCUUAUUUGUUCCUGAAAACUGAACAUAUUUUAGUCAAUGCCCUCUGUAAUGUUACUUGUAUACAAAUACCCAUAUUGUCUUAAUCUUGCUUACUCAUCGCUUACGUUUAUAACGUGACCUUUGGAUUAUAAAUGGUUGUAAUAUUUCGA